UGUAGCUGCUGAAGAUAUGUUAACCUG
rnacentral:piRNA from 1 species